UCCAACAUAGCAAGAUUAUCGAUAUGGUUUAGAACAUCUUCUAUCCACACUGAAUUUGAAUUAGUAAAAGCCAAUUGAACUAAUUCAUGAGCUAUCCUAUUACCACUCCUCUUAACAUGUGAAAAAACUAUUGAUUUAAUAAAAGACAGCUUGUAAACAAUCAGCUAUAAUAGAACUAAAAUAAUUACUAUAAAUAUUCUUAUCUUUCAAGCAUUGGAUGACCUCAAUAUUAUUACCUUUUAUGAUGACAUCCAAGAAGCAAUAUUCACGGGCUUUCUUAAGUCCAAUUUGGCAUGCUUGGGCUUCAGGUUCAUAGACUUGGAUUGUGCUUUGUCCUCUCCAAGUAGCUGCCAUAAGGAUCUUUCUACAUUCAUUUCUUGAAACUACUCCUAUUCUAACUUCUUCUUUCUCAGUUAAUGCAGAGUCAACAUUUAUUUUGAUGAAGUUGUUGGGUGGUCUCUCCUACUUCACCGAGCUACCCGAACCUUGGGGGAAGGAAUUUGCAAUCCCAAUUGGCUUACUUGGGCAGUGCUAAGGUAUUCAUCAUAGCUUCUCUUUGUCAUCCACGCCACUUCUAAAGAGGGAAUUUGUUUCCCUUCAAAUAAUAACAUGUUCUUUGAAAUCCAAAUCUCCAACAAGUAAUAGCAGAACAGGCCAUGCAAUUGGGGAUCAAGGUGGUGAAGCAUCUCCUCAAUCCAUUCUUCAACAUUAUUUUCUAGUUCCUCUGAGGAUUGGAUUGCUAGGGGAGAAUUGAACCAGAAACUUCGAGCGUACUCACAGGUCUUGAACAGUCUGGUUGGAAGAGAUUUGUUGAGGAUUCUCCACACGCAAUUGAUUGCUCGUGGGUGUGCAUUUGACUUCCAAAGUCGCUUCCAGCUGGGACUGACUAGAGCUGCUACCAUUGAACUUGAUAUGACUAAUGUGAGCAGCCCUAGGGAUGAGGAUGCACGAUGAACGGAUACUUACGUUACACUCCUUCAAACCCUAGCAGAGCAUGGUACGGUUAGAAAAGAGAGAGGAUUAAGGUCUCUGGAAAGUUGUAAAUAAUUGAAUAUGGCAGCAAAAUACAGGCUCAUAGUCUUUGCUCUCUGCCGUAACACCUCACUUUCAUUUUCUCAUGCUCUUUAUUACCAUUUCUGUUACUCACUUUAAAAACUCCCUCAGCAAGGUCGUACACCUCACCUUCCACCUCCCCCUUUUUCUUUUUGCUCCUUGAGUUAUGUUCUUCUGUCGUCAAACUGCCUGUUGCGGUGUCGCCUCAUCGUCAUCGUCAUAUCCAGCCUCCUCGUCGUUGUCAGAUCGUCACCAGCCUGCCAGACAGUGUCGUUGUCAGAGCACCUUCUCAUGCGCCAGUCCACCUCAUCGUGAAAUCGUUGGCGUCACAGAUUUGCUCAUUGCUGUUUGCUCAUCACUGUCUUUCCAUUGCUAUCUGCUCCUCGUUGCCGCUAACUGCACCUACCUCACUGUCCAGAGAUCUGUGUUCUUCAAAAUUAUUAUGAUAUUUACAUUGUUUUAAAAUAAGAAGUUCAAUUGGUUGAUUUUUCUAUUUAUUUUUUCAUUUUUGUUUUUCGUUUUCUUAAGAAAAUUCAUGGAGAUAUCUUCGGAAAUGAGUAUCAGAUGGAUAUUGGGUACCUGUUACCUGUCGUAGAUACAAGGUCUGAGACGGGGUACUUUUUGAAAGGGGGAUAGUGUGUCCCUAUUCCUAAGGGGACAUGUUACUAAUCCUAAUUAAAUAAAGACCUGCAAAAUUUUUAUGA